rnacentral:rRNA from 1 species
UACAGAGGUGGCAAGCGUUGUUCGGAAUUAUUGGGCGUAAAGAGCACGUAGGUGGGUUUGUAAGUCAGAUGUGAAAGCCUUCUGUUCAACGGAAGAAUUGCAUCUGAAACUGCGAGUCUUGAGUGUAGGAGGGGAGAAUGGAACUUCUGGUGGAGCGGUGAAAUGCGUAGAUAUCAGAAGGAACGCCGGCGGCGAAAGCGAUUCUCUGGCCUAUUACUGACACUCAGUGUGCGAAAGCUAGGGGAGCAAACGGG